AACGAACGCUGGCGGCAGGCUUAACACAUGCAAGUCGAACGCCCCGCAAGGGGAGUGGCAGACGGGUGAGUAACGCGUGGGAACGUACCUUUCAGUUCGGAAUAACUCAGGGAAACUUGUGCUAAUACCGGAUACGCCCGCAAGGGGGAAAGAUUUAUCGCUGAAAGAUCGGCCCGCGUUGGAUUAGCUAGUUGGUGGGGUAAAGGCCUACCAAGGCGACGAUCCAUAGCUGGUCUGAGAGGAUGAUCAGCCACACUGGGACUGAGACACGGCCCAGACUCCUACGGGAGGCAGCAGUGGGGAAUAUUGGACAAUGGGCGCAAGCCUGAUCCAGCCAUGCCGCGUGUGUGAUGAAGGCCUUAGGGUUGUAAAGCACUUUCACCGAUGAAGAUAAUGACGGUAGUCGGAGAAGAAGCCCCGGCUAACUUCGUGCCGAAACGCCGCGGUAAAAGUACUCUAU
rnacentral:rRNA from 1 species